rnacentral:lncRNA from 1 species
CUGUGCCUCCCAAAGGUGCUUGGGGCAGGAAAGGAAGAGCGGAACAGCCCCCAUCAAUCCAAUAGGAUUGUUGUUUUACACUGGCUAGAGCCUCAGACAUCAAACGGGCUGGAGAGUGAAGCCACGUGUGGGCUGUGAAGUUGGUGACCCUGAGGCACAGAAAGCUUAGGGAAUUUGUUCGAAGUCACACAGCUGGGUCCUUGCAGAUGUAAUCAGGUGAAGAUGGGUUCAUAUUGGAUUGGAGUAAGUCAUAAUCCACUAUGACUGGUGUCUUUAAAAGAAAAGGACACACGGAAAUUCAGAGACAGAAAGACCCACAGGGAGAAUGCCAUGUGAUGACAGAGGCAGAGACUGGAGUGAUGGGUCUAUAGCCAACGGACACCAAGGACUCCCAUCUACCAGAAGCUGGAAGAGGCAAGAAGUGGAAAAGCAUUUGGGAGGAAGUGGAACCAAAGCAGAUCCUAUCCAAGGUGAAUGGCAAGCAGCUAUACGAGGAUGGCCUUUCUCCCAGCCGGAUCUCCCGUCCUCAAGAAGGCCAGCCCAGGCUUCAUCACACAGCAGUGGAAGAGUUCUGAUUUAGGAGAAGAAGAGUGGAAGCUGCAGGUCAUGUUGAGACCUGGACUAGGAAGAGACACAAUGCCACCUCUGCCACAUUCUAGUUGUCAUUUCUGGUUGUGAAAGCAAGUCCCAGGGCCAGUCAAGAUUCAAGGAAAGGGUAAAUAGACUCCAUUACUUGAUGGGUGCAGCCAAAAAAAGUCA